AGAGUUUGAUCCUGGCUCAGGAUGAACGCUAGCGGCAGGCUUAACACAUGCAAGUCGAGGGGUAUAGGUUUUCGGACCUAGAGACCGGCGCACGGGUGCGUAACGCGUAUGCAAUCUACCUUUUACAGAAGGAUAGCCCAGAGAAAUUUGGAUUAAUACCUCAUAGUAUAGCUGAACCGCAUGGUUCUACUAUUAAAGUCACAACGGUAAAAGAUGAGCAUGCGUCCCAUUAGCUUGUUGGUAAGGUAACGGCUUACCAAGGCUACGAUGGGUAGGGGUCCUGAGAGGGAGAUCCCCCACACUGGUACUGAGACACGGACCAGACUCCUACGGGAGGCAGCAGUGAGGAAUAUUGGUCAAUGGACGCAAGUCUGAACCAGCCAUGCCGCGUGCAGGAUGACGGUCCUAUGGAUUGUAAACUGCUUUUGCACAGGAAGAAACAACUCUACGUGUAGAGUCUUGACGGUACUGUGAGAAUAAGGAUCGGCUAACUCCGUGCCAGCAGCCGCGGUAAUACGGAGGAUCCAAGCGUUAUCCGGAAUCAUUGGGUUUAAAGGGUCCGUAGGCGGUUUAGUAAGUCAGUGGUGAAAGCCCAUCGCUCAACGGUGGAACGGCCAUUGAUACUGCUAGACUUGAAUUAUUAGGAAGUAACUAGAAUAUGUAGUGUAGCGGUGAAAUGCUUAGAGAUUACAUGAAAUACCAAUUGCGAAGGCAGGUUACUACUAAUGGAUUGACGCUGAUGGACGAAAGCGUGGGUAGCGAACAGGAUUAGAUACCCUGGUAGUCCACGCCGUAAACGAUGGAUACUAGCUGUUGGAAGCAAUUUCAGUGGCUAAGCGAAAGUGAUAAGUAUCCCACCUGGGGAGUACGUUCGCAAGAAUGAAACUCAAAGGAAUUGACGGGGGCCCGCACAAGCGGUGGAGCAUGUGGUUUAAUUCGAUGAUACGCGAGGAACCUUACCAAGGCUUAAAUGUAGAUUGACCGGUUUGGAAACAGACUUUUCGCAAGACAAUUUACAAGGUGCUGCAUGGUUGUCGUCAGCUCGUGCCGUGAGGUGUCAGGUUAAGUCCUAUAACGAGCGCAACCCCUGUUGUUAGUUGCCAGCGAGUCAUGUCGGGAACUCUAACAAGACUGCCAGUGUAAACUGUGAGGAAGGUGGGGAUGACGUCAAAUCAUCACGGCCCUUACGCCUUGGGCUACACACGUGCUACAAUGGCCGGUACAGAGAGCAGCCACUGGGCGACCAGGAGCGAAUCUAUAAAACCGGUCACAGUUCGGAUCGGAGUCUGCAACUCGACUCCGUGAAGCUGGAAUCGCUAGUAAUCGGAUAUCAGCCAUGAUCCGGUGAAUACGUUCCCGGGCCUUGUACACACCGCCCGUCAAGCCAUGGAAGCUGGGGUGCCUGAAGUCGGUGACCGCAGGGAGCUGCCUAGGGUAAAACUGGUAACUAGGGCUAAGUCGUAACAAGGUA
rnacentral:rRNA from 1 species